rnacentral:rRNA from 1 species
ACUGGAGUUUGAUCCUGGCUCAGAUUGAACGCUGGCGGCAUGCUUUACACAUGCAAGUCGAACGGUAACAGGUUAAGCUGACGAGUGGCGAACGGGUGAGUAAUGCAUCGGAACGUGCCCGAUCGUGGGGGAUAACGCAGCGAAAGCUGCGCUAAUACCGCAUACGAUCUGAGGAUGAAAGCGGGGGACCUUGUAGCAAUACGGGGCCUCGCGCGAUCGGAGCGGCCGAUGUCAGAUUAGGUAGUUGGUGGGGUAAGGCUCACCAAGCCGACGAUCUGUAGCUGGUCUGAGAGGACGACCAGCCACACUGGGACUGAGACACGGCCCAGACU